CUGAGAAUAAUGCCCCGAUAGAACAUUAUACCUGGAAUGGUUUAUGUUCCAAAUGAUUUAUCGCCAUAGGAUGGGACUGCGGCCUAUCAGUUUGUUGGUGAGGUAAUGGCCCACCAAGACUAUUACAGGUACGGGCUCUGAGAGGAGUAGCCCGGAGAUGGGUACUGAGACACGGACCCAGGCCCUAUGGGGCGCAGCAGGCGAGAAAACUUUGCGAUGUGCGAAAGCACGACAAGGUUAAUCCGAGUGGUUUCUGCUAAAGAGAUCUUUUGUUAGUCCUAGAAACACUAACGAAUAAGGGGUGGGCAAGUUCUGGUGUCAGCCGCCGCGGUAAAACCAGCACCUCAAGUGGUCAGGAUGAUUAUUGGGCCUAAAGCAUCCGUAGCCGGUUCUGUAAGUUUUCGGUUAAAUCUGUACGCUCAACGUACAGGCUGCCGGGAAUACUGCAGAACUAGGGAGUGGGAGAGGUAGACGGUACUCGGUAGGAAGUGGUAAAAUGCUUUGAUCUAUCGAUGACCACCUGUGGCGAAGGCGGUCUACCAGAACACGUCCGACGGUGAGGGAUGAAAGCUGGGGGAGCAAACCGGAUUAGAUACCCGGGUAGUCCCAGCUGUAAACUAUGCAAACUCAGUGAUGCAUUGGCUUGUGGCCAAUGCAGUGCUGCAGGGAAGCCGUUAAGUUUGCCGCCUGGGAAGUACGUACGCAAGUAUGAAACUUAAAGGAAUUGGCGGGGGAGCACCACAAGGGGUGAAGCCUGCGGUUCAAUUGGAUUCAACGCCGGG
rnacentral:rRNA from 1 species